UACGUAGGGGGCUAGCGUUGCUCGGAAUCACUGGGCGUAAAGGGUGCGUAGGCGGGUCUUUAAGUCAGGGGUGAAAUCCUGGAGCUCAACUCCAGAACUGCCUUCGAUACUGGCGAUCUUGAGUCCGGAAGAGGUGAGUGGAACUCCUAGUGUAGAGGUGGAAUUCGUAGAUAUUAGGAAGAACACCAGUGGCGAAGGCGGCUCACUGGUCCGGUACUGACGCUGAGGUGCGAAAGCGUGGGGAGCAAACAGG
rnacentral:rRNA from 1 species